rnacentral:lncRNA from 1 species
GCCACCCCAGAUUCGUCGUUCCCCUGCCCAUUGUGAUCUGAUCGCUCAAGCUAUGGUACUGAAAAUCUUCAAAUUCUUCUAGUAUCUCAUACUUAUGUAGUAAAUUGAUUUCCUGCUUAAUCGCUGUAAAUUUUAGUUGUUCAACUCUGCAAACUGAAGGUGCUCUGGUCCGUGGUAGCCUGGUAGGAGUCACAUCAAUAGAAAAAUCUUCUGAACAUUGGGCGUACAUACAGUUUGCAUGUUCGCUCGGUUUGAUUGCUUCUCGGUUGGGUUGCUUGUUGUUUACAGAUCGUGGGGAGAGAUGAAAAACUACCAGCCUGGACGGCGCUCGUCGUGUCUGGCGUACAACCUGUUGCGUGUCAAUGACGGCUUUGCAAGGCGGCAGUGUUGGCGCCGGGCGCCGGCGACCACCUUUGGCUCCGCUCCUUGUCACCAUUUUGCCAUCCGUCCUCGCGCGUGGCCCUCGUGGCAAAACUCUAGACAUCAGGUGGGGAUUGGUGACCAUCGGCGUUGUUGCCUUGGAGCUACCAGCGCACGAUUCCACCUCUGACAUUUCAUGCCCGGGUGCUAUUUAUUGGACUCACUCCACUUGAUCUCAAGUGAUGCGAUCAUACAGGUCUGUCUAGCCGCCUCCCUUGUCUGUUUGUAGUUGCUGCUUUCUAGCAAGUAGUACAAAUUGGUCUAGCCACAACCCACAGCCGCACCUGUGCCCCUGCAUUCAAACAAAUGGAAUUAAGAUUCGAAGUUAGUAGAAAACUGAUAACAUGUUCAGAAUUUUCACAUCACACAACCAAGUAAACUCCGAUAGACAGAGGACACGAAAAUGGCGCAUCCAUGUUUUGAUUGCAUCCUGUAUUCAACAAUCACAUAGCAUGUUACGUUUCACCCGGAAAAUAAAAAAAUAAAAGAUCACAGAACAUAUUUUACUUGAAGUUUCUUUAUUACCUUAGUGAAUUAGAGAAUAGAACAAUAAUGUAUCUUUUGUUAUGAGAAUGAUUGCAUGAAUAGUACAUCUAGUUCAGGAAAAAAAAGAUCGGGAGAAAAUAUUUGAUAGUUGGAAACCAACUAUAUCAGUUAUAAUAUUCUAAUAUGCUAAUUAUUUCCUUAAUGAAAUGCUCACUAUAUAUAUUCAGAAGUAUAACAGAGUUACAUAGGUGUUACUCUGCUGAUUUGGCUCUGCUUCUCCUGUUUGCAAAGAGGAUUUUCUUAUUUCUGCUAUCUGGCAGUUCUUAUCUAAUAAUGGUUAUCAUUUGCCAUUGAUAAUAUUAUCUCGUAGUUUAAUUCUGCCUAUAGCGCAGGAUUUGAUUUCAUUCACCGUCCAUUAUUUAGCUACUUCAACGUCCUACUAGCCUUGCUAUCUCUAAGGAGAAACAUAAAUGUCGAAUGAUGUUGCCAUUCUUGACACUGAAAAAUGGUCAUGUUUUUCAGGCCCAACAGGUGUUACCUUUGAUAAAGCAUGCAGAUCAUUUACUAUCUCUUUGUCCAUUUCAGGGGAGAGCAUUUCAAAGGAAUCAUGGACUGGAGGUGUAAGGUUACAUGACAAGCUAUUUUGCUCACGCAGUUUGAUAAAAAAAAUUCAUGAAGUCCACUUCCUUGUUUAUUUGGCUCAUGAUUAAUGUUUUUUUAACUUCCAAAUGUUGGCUAGCAAUUGAUAUUCUAUGAUUAAACAUGUCAUAAUCCAUUGAUUUA